rnacentral:rRNA from 1 species
UACGGGGGGGCAAGCGUUGUUCGGAAUUACUGGGCGUAAAGGGCUCGUAGGCGGCCAACUAAGUCAGACGUGAAAUCCCUCGGCUUAACCGGGGAACUGCGUCUGAUACUGGAUGGCUAGAGGUUGGGAGAGGGAUGCGGAAUUCCAGGUGUAGCGGUGAAAUGCGUAGAUAUCUGGAGGAAUACCGGUGGCGAAGGCGGCAUCCUGGACCGAGAUUGACGCUGAGGAGCGAAAGCUAAGGGGAGCAAACGGGG